CAAGACGUAGCUACAACACAAAGCAUUCAGCUUACACCUGAAAGAUAUCUGUACCCUACCAGAUCGUCUUGA
rnacentral:tRNA from 1 species